GCUCCUGUAGCUCAGUCGGUAGAGCGUUUCCAUGGUAAGGAAGAGGUCGCAGGUUCGAUUCCUGUCGGGUGCA
rnacentral:tRNA from 1 species